rnacentral:rRNA from 1 species
GACGAACGCUGGCGGCACGCCUAACACAUGCAAGUCGAGCGGUUCGGAGAUUGGAACUGAGGGAUUAAGGAAUUAAUCUCUGAGCUCCAAUUUCCGGAUAGCGGCGGACGGGUGAGUAACACGUGAGGAACCUGCCUUUCAGAGGGGGAUAACGUUUGGAAACGAACGCUAAUACCGCAUGAAGUAUAUUUACGGCAUCGUAGAUAUACCAAAGGAGCAAUCCGCUGAAAGAUGGCCUCGCGGCUGAUUAGCUAGUUGGCGGGGUAACGGCCCACCAAGGCGACGAUCAGUAGCCGGACUGAGAGGUUGAACGGCCACAUUGGGACUGAGACACGGCCCAGACUCCUACGGGAGGCAGCAGUGGGGGAUAUUGCACAAUGGGCGAAAGCCUGAUGCAGCGAUGCCGCGUGGAGGAAGAAGGUCUUCGGAUUGUAAACUCCUGUCUUUAGGGACGAUAAUGACGGUACCUAAGGAGGAAGCUCCGGCUAACUACGUG